UACAGAGGGGGCAAGCGUUGUUCGGAAUUACUGGGCGUAAAGGGCGCGUAGGCAGCCUUCUAAGUCGGACGUGAAAUCCCCGGGCUCAACCCGGGAACUGCGUCCGAUACUGGAAGGCUUGAAUCCGGGAGAGGGAUGCGGAAUUCCAGGUGUAGCGGUGAAAUGCGUAGAUAUCUGGAGGAACACCGGUGGCGAAGGCGGCAUCCUGGACCGGCAUUGACGCUGAGGCGCGAAAGCCAGGGGAGCAAACGGG
rnacentral:rRNA from 1 species